CCAUGCCGCGUGCAGGAUGACGGUCCUAUGGAUUGUAAACUGCUUUAUACAGGAAGAAACACUCGGACGUGUCCGAGCUUGACGGUACUGUAGGAAUAAGGAUCGGGCUAACUCCGUGCCAGCAGCCGCGGUAAUACAGAGGGUGCAAGCGUUGUUCGGAAUUAUUGGGCGUAAAGCGCGUGUAGGCGGCUUUGCAAGUCGGGUGUGAAAGCCCUCGGCUCAAACCGAGGAAGUGCGCCCGAAACUGCAGAGCUUGAGUACCGGAGAGGAUGGCGGAAUUCCCCAAGUAGAGGUGAAAUUCGUAGAUAUGGGGAGGAACACCGGUGGCGAAGGCGGCCAUCUGGACGGAUACUGACGCUGAGACGCGAAAGCGUGGGUAGCGAACAGGAUUAGAUACCCUGGUAGUCCACGCCGUAAACGAUGAGAACUAGGUGUCGUGGGUGUUGACCCCCGCGGUGCCGUAGCUAACGCAUUAAGUUCUCCGCCUGGGAAGUACGCUCGCAAGGCUA
rnacentral:rRNA from 1 species